ensembl:lncRNA
GCGGCUCUAGCCUGUCUGGCAACUGCGGCUCACAUGACCGCAGUCGGUGCUUCCUCACUGCGCUGAGGAGCCGUGCAGGGGCCGACUCCAAGCUCCAGCUCUACGGGAAUAACAGCCCAGGGGAGCGGGGGGACAGCUGACAUGAGCUGCUGUUAGUCGGUGAAGCUGUGAGCCGUUCUCUCAGAUCCUAGAUGUGUCCAUGCUGCAGGCCGGGGAUCCUGGAUGGGAAAGAAGCAGACGAAUGUUUAUUCCAGCCCCUGCAGUGAAAACAUAGCACAGGCAAAACACAGAGACUCUCUGCUGGGCAACAUGAGUACAGACAGACCCAAGCGGAACGUCAUCAGAAAAAGAUAUGACAUCAGUGACGGGAUGCCGUGGUGUGAAGAACGUCUGGUCCGCAAAGUUCUCUUCCUUUCUCUCAGGGAAUACAGAGACAAACACCGUGCUGCACACACUCACUCACACAUACACAAGUGUCCACAUGCUCUGCAAAAGACACUGACAAAACCUAAUGCACACAAGAAAACACAAGCAAGAAAAAACAUGCACACACAACAGCAAAGACUCACAUGCAAACAGCUAAAUACAUACACACAGGCGAACACACGUACUGCACAAAACCUGCACGUUUCAAAGCGCCUGCACGCUGAACACACAAACAAACGGCAGACAGCUCACUUGAAUUGGGUCUCGCACUCUCCAGAAAGUAAAUGUACUCGGAUACUACGGAACACACAAACUCAGAUGAAAUUGUGUAAAAGGAAAGUUGCACACACUCGGCAGCGUACUUGCACGGACCAGAAGACGUCUUCUACCAGGACACUACGCUCAAAUAAAACACAAAACACGCUGUCGCUGCAGAACUCAAAAUACCCCAAACCUGCAAAACGCACAGACACUGCUCAACACACACACUCACUGAACAACAUGUGCAGAUCUAAAAACACAAAGAUGCCACUGAGAGCUGCUCUCUCAGCCAGGACUCUGAGGUCGCACACCCCAACAAGUGUCUGUGGCUCUGUAGUUAACACUGCGAUCAAGCGUCGGGCAGCUGGUCCAAACUGGAGCUGGUCCUUACAGACGCAACAACGCCAUCCUACCAGCAGUCGUGGUGAUGAAGAUGAUUGUGCCAAAAACAGACCUCGGCUGCACGCACAGAGAAAGUUUGCUCAGUCCCCACCCAGCUCUCCAGGACCAUUGGUGCUGAUGAGAGGUUCAGCAGCAUUACCGCGCAACAUGGCAUUCUUAACAAGUAAGCGAGACAGGGAGCCAGGUGACAGUCAGCGUUUGCCUUCCUGUCACAAGGCUCCAGCUGAGGAGAAGAAAAUCAGGAUGUUAUGUAGAAAAACAGUGCACAGUGACUCCAGGUCACUGAAGAGGAGGCCUGCCAGCCCUGCUGUGCUCAGAUCCACCUGCCCUUUAACAGCUCGAGCACAGAAAAGGAUGGACAGCGAUGAAAGAGAAGGGAAGCAACAGAAGAAGGGAGUGGAGGGGGACAGGCGAGAGGGCGCUCAGAUACACCUCCUGAGACCUCGCCAGCACUUACUUCAUGUCAAGAGGGCUAACAAGGUCUGGUCAUGCUUUACUACACGUUUGCUUGUGUGAAAAGUGUGCUGUUGUAUCAUCGGUAUGGAAACCAAACACUAAUAAACAUACAGG